AGCUUCCAACUUCCAUCUUUUUCAAAUAGGUAAAUAGAUAGACAUAUUAAUGACGUCAUAUAUAGAACGCGACGCGUCGAAAUAAAUUAAAUUUAAGGAUAACGUGUUCCUUAAAAGAAAUGUAAAUAAGCACCAACCAGCAUGGAACUAAACUGUCAAGGAAACAGGUUCACUGUGGUGCAGCUUACUUAACAGAACGUUUUCCACUUAAAAACACUGCAU